AUACUGCAGUCGAGCGGACAGAUGGGAGCUUGCUCCCUGAUGUUAGCGGCGGACGGGUGAGUAACACGUGGGUAACCUGCCUGUAAGACUGGGAUAACUCCGGGAAACCGGGGCUAAUACCGGAUGGUUGUUUGAACCGCAUGGUUCAAACAUAAAAGGUGGCUUCGGCUACCACUUACAGAUGGACCCGCGGCGCAUUAGCUAGUUGGUGAGGUAACGGCUCACCAAGGCAACGAUGCGUAGCCGACCUGAGAGGGUGAUCGGCCACACUGGGACUGAGACACGGCCCAGACUCCUACGGGAGGCAGCAGUAGGGAAUCUUCCGCAAUGGACGAAAGUCUGACGGAGCAACGCCGCGUGAGUGAUGAAGGUUUUCGGAUCGUAAAGCUCUGUUGUUAGGGAAGAACAAGUACCGUUCGAAUAGGGCGGUACCUUGACGGUACCUAACCAGAAAGCCACGGCUAACUACGUGCCAGCAGCCGCGGUAAUACGUAGGUGGCAAGCGUUGUCCGGAAUUAUUGGGCGUAAAGGGCUCGCAGGCGGUUUCUUAAGUCUGAUGUGAAAGCCCCCGGCUCAACCGGGGAGGGUCAUUGGAAACUGGGGAACUUGAGUGCAGAAGAGGAGAGUGGAAUUCCACGUGUAGCGGUGAAAUGCGUAGAGAUGUGGAGGAACACCAGUGGCGAAGGCGACUCUCUGGUCUGUAACUGACGCUGAGGAGCGAAAGCGUGGGGAGCGAACAGGAUUAGAUACCCUGGUAGUCCACGCCGUAAACGAUGAGUGCUAAGUGUUAGGGGGUUUCCGCCCCUUAGUGCUGCAGCUAACGCAUUAAGCACUCCGCCUGGGGAGUACGGUCGCAAGACUGAAACUCAAAGGAAUUGACGGGGGCCC
rnacentral:rRNA from 1 species